rnacentral:lncRNA from 1 species
ACAACUUAGUGCCCUAAAGAAGAAGAAAGAUAAUGGUUCGCAAUCAAUGCUCAUGGACCAGACACCUAAUCUGAACUUAACCAAAAAGUCAAUAUUUAGCUGUACCUUAUCAGUGUGGAACUGUCAAGCAUAGCAAGAGGCACGAACAAAUUUCCAAGUGAUUUCUCUUUUUUUAACGUUUCGGUGUUCACAGCUAUGUGGAAGCAUUUCAACAUCAGAUAAGACAAAACGGCCUUUGGGACAAAAAAAAAGACAGCAAAUUACAAUACUUGCACUUGCCGAAACCACAGUUUAUGAGAGGAAAGCAGACGCUGGAGAUGCAUUCUAUUCUCUCCUAGCCCAUUCCCUGGGUCACCUUCCUGCCUGUGUGAUGCUAGCCCUUGAUUGUUACCCACAGCUGGCAGCCUUUAAGAGACAGAUAUGGUGAAAUGUCUCCUUGCUGAGUAAAGUCAUAAUUUGUUGCCACCCAACAUAAUUGACACAAAUCAUUUGCAUUCUAAAUUUCCAUGCCUAGGAGUAGAUAUAUCAAGCAUGACUAGAAGGACUGUGGGUCUGCGAAACAGGAGCUCCACCUGGAUUUCCUGGAAGUUAUGGCCAGUUAAUGUAGAGAAAGAGGUUUUCAAAAUUGUAAGAACUUCAGGACCUUUGUCAGAAUUCCAUUUCGCUCCACAGGACUCCAGCUAACCUCACCCACAUAACUGGUGUUGAAAGUUUUAUUUUGUUAGAAAAUAAUGUUACACUGGAAAAACCUAUGCUGGUACUCACAUUUAAUGGGAUGGUUGGACUGUCUGUCAGCAAGAAACAUUUGGUUAUGGAAAAAAGGAAACAACACAAGAAAGAAAGGUUGAAGUUUAUGUCUGGAUAAAUUAACUCCCCACUAUUUCUGGCCUACCUGGAUAUGGGCAGCACAUGCUCUUCAGGCAGAGGAAGUCCAGAGUCAAAGAGACACAAAUGCUUGAGUUUCAACAAUGUCCUUGGAGAGGGCCGGAAAAGGGCAAGAGGAAUUGGAAGCCACAUGGUAUCUGACAAGGCUUGUUCAUUAUCACAGCUUCUCCUCCUCUGUUGUGCUGUGUCAACCACCAAGUUGUGCCAGCCGAGAAUUGUGGUCUCAGGUCUCCAUCCAGAUCUUUGAUUGUGUGGCCACAUGGAUUCAGGCAGCUGAACACGAGCAUGGAGGCACAGGCUUUCCCUCUAAGGGUCUCAGGAAGACCACCAAACAUCAGAGGAAACCGAGGCUGAGGUCUACAUGCAACAGUCUUUGAAGAGCACGAGAACACACUGAGACCAGCAGAAAGGUAUAUAAAGUUUGUUAAGUUGAGAAACUCAGAUAAUCUGUCCGGCUGUGCCUAGCUCCUCUGGAUUUAAGGGACCUUCUUUUUCAUGGAAAGGAGUUUUUCUGGAGAUCAGCCUCUGAAGGUGGAGCCAAGGCCAUGAUCACAGGUCUCCUGUGUGAGAAGUCAUUUCCUGAUGCUCCCGGCAUUCUUCCAGAAACCCCUCUUUCCACUUUCUAAUGCUGCCAUAAUUACCUAUAGGUAACAAAAUAUUUUCUGCCCGUUCUUACUAGAAAAAUGUGUGAAGAGAGGGUAGAUAGGUUCUAACCCUUGGUCUAUGAUGUAGGCCGUUCUUGCAUUGCUAUAAAGAAAUACCUGAGACUGGGUAAUUUAUAAAGAAAAGAGGCUUAAUUGGCCAUGAUUCUGCAGGCUGUACAGGAAGCAUGGUGCUGGCAUCUACUCAGCUUUGGGAGGCCUCAAGGAGCUUUCACUCAUGGCAGAGGGUGAAGCGGGAGCUUGCCUGUCACAUGGUGAAAGCAGGAGCAAGAAAGAGAGGAGGGAGCUGCCACAUGUGUUUAAACAACCAGCUCUUGUGCGAACUCACUAUCAUGAGGACAGCAUCAAGCCAUGAGGGAUCCACCCCCAUGACCCAAACACCUCCCACUAGGCCCCAACUCUAAUAUUGGGGAUUACAUUUCCACAUGGGAUUUGGAGGGGAUAAAUGUCCAAACUAUAUCUGUCCAUUUGUAAACUACAUGAAAUUUAGUCUAUUGACUUUAUAGUGUCUCUUUGUCUUUCUGUAUUGCUUGGUUCUUGACUAUUUGUGGGGAUAGUUGAUGUCAUAAAACAAAUGAGUUAUCACAGUCUCUGGAACUGUUAUUGAAAUGAUUUUUGCCAGUAUUUUUCUAGGAAUAUAUGUCAAGUUUUUAUGCUUUCAUUUUAAAGACAUUUUCUUUGUUUUCUAAAGAUAAAUAUUACUUAACACUAUCAGCAACUUCAUUUUCCACUUCACUUCUUUAGGAGUUUUAAAAAAACACUGAUUAGUGGCACUAAAAUAGUUAUAUUAAAUGCUCUGAAAUGUAGCUCACCAGAGAAUGUAGAUGAAUAAUAUUUUUCUUAGUAAAAUAUGCUGUUUAAACUCCUCUUCCUCUCUCAUUUUUCUUAAUCCUUCUCUUUCCAUUUCCUCUCUAUUAGUAAUUGGACUCAUUAGACUCAGCUACCUCCUUCUCUUCUGUUCUUUAUCUGGUAUUUAGUUAACACUAUAUUCUAGGUGCUCACUGUAGGAACUUAUACUCUAGAAGGGAGGGCAAUGUACAGAAAUUCCAUAAUAAAACAGAAUAUGUGCUUAAAUGCUAUAAGAGUUAUAAAAUGUAUUAGGAGAGAUUCUUCAUUAAGGAGAGAUGAUUCUUGAUCGAGUGAUCAUAAUGGUGAUUAAUUAGCAGAGAACAAGUUUUUAGAAAUGUACACUCUAUGUAAAUUUGUUUACGUUUUUCUAGAUUCUGGAUAUUAGUCCUUUGUCAGAUGGAUAGAUUGCAAAAAUUUUCUCCCAUUCUGUAGGUUGUCUGUUCAUUCUGAUGACAGUUUCUUUUGCUGUGCAGAAGCUCUUUAGUUUAAUUAGAUCCCAUUUAUCAAUUUUGGCUUUUGUUGCCAUUGCUUUUGGUGUGUUAGUCAUGAAGUCUUUGCCCAUGCUUAUGUCCUGAAUGGUAUUGCCUAAGUUUUCUUCUGGGGUUUUUAUGGUUUUCAAUUUUACAUUUAAGUCUUUAAUCCAUCUUGAGUUAAUUUUUAUAUAAGGUGUAAGGAAGGGAUGCAGUUUCAGUUUUGUGCAUAUGGCUACCUAGUUUUCCCCAUUAAAAAGGGGGCAAAGGAUAUGAACAGACACUUCUCAAAAGAAGACAUUUAUGUGGCCAACAAACAUAUGAAAGAAAACUCAUCAUCACUGGCCAUUAGAGAAAUGAAAAUCAAAACCACAAUGAGAUACCAUCUCAUGACAGUUAAAAUGGCAAUCAUUAAAAAGUCAGGAAACAACAGAUGCUGGAGAGGAUGUGGAGAAAUAGGAACGCUUUUACACUGUUGGUGCAGAAUGUAAAUUAGUUCAACCAUUGU